rnacentral:rRNA from 1 species
CGGACGGGUGAGUAACGCGUGGAUAACCUGCCUCACACUGGGGAUAACAGUUAGAAAUGACUACUAAUACCGCAUAAGCGCACAGUACCGCAUGGUACAGUGUGAAAAACUCCGGUGGUGUGAGAUGGAUCCGCGUCUGAUUAGCCAGUUGGCGGGGUAACGGCCCACCAAAGCGACGAUCAGUAGCCGACCUGAGAGGGUGACCGGCCACAUUGGGACUGAGACACGGCCCAA